rnacentral:rRNA from 1 species
GAUGAACGCUGGCGGCGUGCUUAGCACAUGCAAGUCGAACGAGAAGUGAAGACGGAAACCUUCGGGCGGAAGGCUUUAUUUCGAGUGGCGGACGGGUGAGUAACGCGUGGGUAACCUGCCUCAUACAGGGGGAUAACAGUUGGAAACGACUGUUAAUACCGCAUAAGACCACAGCACCGCAUGGUGCGGGGGUAAAAACUCCGGUGGUAUGAGAUGGACCCGCGUUCGAUUAGCCAGUUGGCGGGGUAACGGCCCACCAAAGCGACGAUCGAUAGCCGAUCUGAGAGGAUGACCGGCCACAUUGGGACUGAGACACGGCCCAAACUCCUACGGGAGGCAGCAGUGGGGAAUAUUGCACAAUGGGGGAAACCCUGAUGCAGCGACGCCGCGUGAGUGAAGAAGUAUUUCGGUAUGUAAAGCUCUAUCAGCAGGGAAGAAAAUGACGGUACCUGAGGAAGAAGCCCCGGCUAACUACGUG